UCCGUGAUACUUGUGUCAAGAAUGGCGCUCAUCAGAUUUUUCCCUCUCACAGGGAUUCCAGCAAGCACCAGCCCUUUAUCACUUAAACAGGAGGAAGAAUCUGCAGAGGGAGGAGAGUUGCCACCCUCCCCUUCCACAGAUAGCCUGCUUUCUGUGGAGCCAGGGGAAGCCAUGAGGUCCCCUUGGAACCAGCAAUGAUUCCUAUGACCAUCAAGACAGAAGCCCCAUCUGAGGAUCAACCUGAGCAGAACCUUCUGCAGUCCUGCAGCCAGUCCGUAUUUAGAGUCCACAGAAGGACCAGGAUUAAGACCAGGGGCCACAGAUGGCAUCACACGGAUUGGGGAACCUCAGGCAGCAGAGGAUAUGGGAGAGCCACCCUGUAUCCUUCCUCAGCCACAGAAGCAGGCAUUCCUGUGCCCUGACUGUGGGCAGAGCUUCUGCUUGAAGAUUAAUCUGACAAUCCAUUAGCAGACCCAUGUAGAAAAGAAACACAAGGAGGCUUGGAGUGGCUUGCCUAUUAGGUCAGGGAAAAGCCACUCCACACUGGAACCAGAGAAAGUGGUGGUGCCAGGCCCUGUCAUCCACUGGCCACCUGAGGAGCCCACAAGCCACCGGUCUCCAACAAGCCAUGCCUUCAUGAGACAAAGGCCAGCAACUACAGUUUACCACUGUAGUGAAUGUCUUCACUCCUUUCAGCAACAGAAGAGCCUGGUAUUACACCAGCAUCAGCACACAGGCAAGAGGCAGAGCUGGCCUGCCUGUCCCUACUGUGGCAAGGCCUCCCGCCGGCCCUCAGACCUCUUUUGUCACCAGUGUAUCCAUACUGGUGAGCGUUCCUAUCAGUGCCCCCAGUGUGGCAAGGAGCCACCACCUGGCUGUCCACAUGCAGACUCAUUCCUGAGGCUAAACAAUCCUGCAUUUCCUCUUGCUUUCUGUCCUCCAGGGAAGUCCAGCCCUGCAAGGGCCCAGCUCUGAACAGGACAGGACCUGCACUGUCUCAGGGCCUUUCCCUUGUGCCUGCCAAGUGGUGGAAGUUCCUUCACUUUCCAGCUGAGUUGGUACUUUAGGGGCCCUUCAAAAGCACAAGCUCCAGACCAGGAAUUUGAGGUGAUAGUGUCAUGCCUCAAAGUCAUGAGAGCGGGUGCUUCAUGUGCCUCUUUGUCACAGCACCUUGGGGACAGCCUUGUGGAGCUUCUGGAGCUGGGUGAUGGAUUCCAAUUCUGAUAGUUUGCUCUCUUGUUUGGCACUCAGACACCAGAGCACAUGAAGGCUCCCAGGUGCCUUCAUCCCUGGCUGUGCUAUUGCUAAAGUCCUGCAGACUCUGUAGCCACUCAGAAGUCCUGCACAGACGAGGCAGAGGGUGACACUGCCGUCAUUCCCAGGGUAGGGGUAUGACUGGCAAGACUGUGGCAUGCAGCCAUGGUUCUGGACGUUACUUGCCUGCACACCCAACCGUUGUUUAGGCCCUGCAAGCAAGACAGCAGUUGUCAGUAAGCGCUCAGACUGAACGUGGACAGUAUAGCUGCCCCAAACUUAAUCCUCCGCUGCAAGCACUCAUGUUGCUGUUCUGGGGGUUCCUAGGCCUCUCUUCUAAUGCUUUAGAUGUUCUCUGGAAAACAAGUAUUCAUAUUUGAAGCACAAAUCCAAGUGCUGGGGUGGGGGAAGAGGCGCUGUAUAAUCCUGGCUCGCCUUGGGCUUGCAGUGAAUUUUUUUCCCCUACCUCUAUCUACCUACUAGGAUUUCCUUGCUUGUGCCAUUAUGCACAACUGGGCUUACUGCAUUUAACCUGAAAUUCAAUAGGACAGGUUAAAGAGUAUUUUGAGUUAAGAAUGAACAAAGGCUGCAUGGUUGCCUGAGCUCAAAGACGUUGGAUCCCAGAUUCUGAUGACUUAUUUUGUAAAACAAAGAUAUGGUUGGGUUGGUUACAAGGCCCUAAGAACCAUGGAGGUGGAAAUAUUAACUUAAUCGGUGCUCUAUAAAUACACUGGAAAAUGUAGCUGCGUGUUUGUGGCCUAGUUUGUUCUGGGGAGUCUCAACAUGUGACCCUAGUGGUUGGCGUGGCUCUACAGCUCAAAGGUGAACGGAGCUCAACACCUAGUGCUCACACCUGCGGGGCUGAGACGAAACGCUAGCG
rnacentral:lncRNA from 1 species